UCAGUUCAGUUUAUACUUUAUAGAUUAGGUUUUUUUUUUUGCUAGUAUGGAAUUACAAGGGCAUGCUUGUAAUUUUGCCGUGCACCUCUAGCAGUUGAAGCUGCCAGCAUGAUCUAAACUUGCCUCCUUUUUUGGGUUGAGGAAAGAUCAGAUCAUGUGGCAGCUUCACCUGUUGGUUGGUUGCACGAAAAAACCUUAAUUUCUCACAAACCCUACUUGCCUAGAUAAUUUUGUUCCCAACCAUGAAAAGGAUAGCAGAUUCCUGUUACAUAUAUCUUAAAACAUCAGAUCAGAGACAAAGAUCUGAUUUUUGGCACAAGUACUUGGUUGGCCUCACUUCUGUCACAUGAAUUUCGAUUCUCAGUUUUGGGAUAAUGUUUUUUAUUUUAAUUUCUUGUAAUGUCUGGGAAAUUACACCAGCUUAGCUUGAUGAUGUAAUUAAUGUUGUCAAAAACUUAGCAUUUAUAAUAUAUGGUUGUACAGAACAACAAAUGCAUAAUGCAUGUGAAUGAUGUCCCUGCAGAUCAGGCAACUUCUUGUAAAGUAUUAGAAUAGGAUUAUCUGUUAGUUCUUAUAGUUUGAAUAAUAUUAUGUUUUUUUUCUUUCUAUUUUUUCUCUUGUGAAACAGUUCCAUAUAAUGGUAAUAUCAUUCUUCAUCAA